GUAAGUGACUAACUGACUAUCGCUAUUUUGCUGUAAAAGGCAAAGAAGUGAGGAAGGUCCGCCCACCCUCCGAAUUUUUGGAGUAGUGUUAAUCAUGAAAGUGAUAUGCAGAAAUGCAUGGCAACAUUACAGAAACGACACAGUUUUUGCUGAGCUGUGAAUCAAGCGAGGAGCUAAGAAGCAAAAAAUUUGAUGAGACGAAUGUCCUGACUGGUGCAAGGUCUUUAAGACUGCUUAGUCAAAUGUCAGAUGUUCAAUUUUCGAAAGAAAUGAACAACAUAAGGUGGCCUAAAGUCACUUAC
rnacentral:RNase_P_RNA from 5 species